rnacentral:rRNA from 1 species
UACGAAGGGGGCUAGCGUUGUUCGGAUUUACUGGGCGUAAAGCGCACGUAGGCGGAUUCUUAAGUCAGGGGUGAAAUCCCGAGGCUCAACCUCGGAACUCGCCUUUGAUACUGGGGAUCUCGGAGUUCCGGGAGAGGUGAGUGGAAUUGCGAGUGUAGAGGUGAAAUUCGUAGAGUAUCGGGAGGAACACCAGUGGCGAAGGGCGGCG